rnacentral:rRNA from 1 species
UACAUGGGGUGCAAACGUUGCUCGGAAUUAUUGGGCGUAAAGCGCGCGUAGGCGGUUACUCAAGUCGGAUGUGAAAGCCCUCGGCUUAACUGAGGAAGUGCACCCGAAACUGAGUAGCUAGAGUACCAAAGAGGGUCGCGGAAUUCCCGGUGUAGAGGUGAAAUUCGUAGAUAUCGGGAGGAACACCGGUGGCGAAGGCGGCAUCCUGGACCGGCAUUGACGCUGAGGAGCGAAAGCCAGGGGAGCAAACGGG